rnacentral:rRNA from 1 species
UGGGGAAUCUUCCGCAAUGGACGAAAGUCUGACGGAGCAACGCCGCGUGAGUGAAGACGGCCUUCGGGUUGUAAAGCUCUGUGAUCCGGGACGAAAGAGCCUGAGGUGAAUAGCCUAAGGAAGUGACGGUACCGGAAAAGCAAGCCACGGCUAACUACGUGCCAGCAGCCGCGGUAAUACGUAGGUGGCAAGCGUUGUCCGGAAUUAUUGGGCGUAAAGCGCGCGCAGGCGGCUUCCUAAGUCCAUCUUAAAAGUGCGGGGCUUAACCCCGUGAUGGGAUGGAAACUGGGAAGCUGGAGUAUCGGAGAGGAAAGUGGAAUUCCUAGUGUAGCGGUGAAAUGCGUAGAGUUUAGGAAGAACACCGGUGGCGAAGGCGACUUUCUGGACGAAAACUGACGCUGAGGCGCGAAAGCGUGGGGAGCAAACAGG